rnacentral:rRNA from 1 species
CGCGUAGGUGGUAGUGAAAGUCUAUGGUGGAAUCUUAGGGCUUAACCCUAAAACUGCCUUGGAAACUUCAUUACUUGAGUCAGUGAGGGGAGGGUAGAAUUCCUGGUGUAGCGGUGAAAUGCGUAGAUAUCAGGAGGAAGGCCGGUGGCGAAGGCGGCCCUCUGGCGCUGAACUGACGCUGAGGCGCGAAAGCGUGGGUAGCAAACAGAAUUAGAUACCCUGGUAGUCCACGCCCUAAACGGUGGGUACUAGGUGUAGGGCUCGUAAGGGUUCUGUGCCGAAGGGAAACCAUUAAGUACCCCGCCUGGGGAGUACGGCCGCAAGGUUGAA